rnacentral:rRNA from 1 species
UACGGAGGGUGCAAGCGUUAUCCGGAUUCACUGGGUUUAAAGGGUGCGUAGGUGGGUCUGUAAGUCAGUGGUGAAAUCUCCGUGCUUAACAUGGAAACUGCCAUUGAUACUAUAGGUCUUGAAUUCUCUGGAGGAUAGCGGAAAUAUGUCAUGUAGCGGUGAAAUGACUUAGAUAUGACAUAGAACACCAAUUGCGAAGGCAGCUAUCUACAGGGAUAUUGACACUGAGGCACGAAAGCGUGGGGAUCAAACAGG